CGGAUAAAAAUUUACUGAUAUUCCAUGCUAUUCAGCUUCCCAAGCUGAUAACGAGGGUUCGAUUCCCUUCACCCGCUCCA
rnacentral:tRNA from 1 species